rnacentral:rRNA from 1 species
UACUACAGCCAUGCCAUCCUGAACGUGCCCGAUCUCGUCUGAUCUCGGAAGCUAAGCAGGGUUGGGCUUGGUUAAUAUUUGGAUGGGAGACCACCUAGAAAUACCGGGUGCAGCAGGCG